rnacentral:rRNA from 1 species
AGAACGAACGCUGGCGGCAGGCUUAACACAUGCAAGUCGAACGCGUGUAGCAAUACACGAGUGGCGCACGGGUGAGUAACGCGUGGAUAUCUGCCUUUUGGUUCGGAAUAACCCCGGGAAACUGGGGCUAAUACCGGAUGGUUCCUUCGGGAUAAAGAUUUAUCGCCAAAAGAUGAGUCCGCGUACGAUUAGCUAGUUGGUGAGGUAAUGGCUCACCAAGGCGACGAUCGUUAGCUGGUCUGAGAGGACGAUCAGCCACACUGGGACUGAGACACGGCCCAGACUCCUACGGGAGGCAGCAGUGGGGAAUAUUGGACAAGUGGGGGCAACCCGUGAUCCAGCCAUGCCGCGUGAGUGAUGAAGGCCUUCGGGUAGUAAGCUCGUUUUGGGCGGGACGA